rnacentral:tRNA from 1 species
UCUAAUAUGGCAGAUUAGUGCGAUAAAUUUAAGAUUUAUAUAAAUAAUUUAUAAUUAUUGUUAGAA